rnacentral:lncRNA from 1 species
UCUAGAAGUCACUCUGCAUUUUACUGAAGGAAAAAAGUAGCCAUCAUAUAAUCCUCAUCAUCUAAGAAUCCCGAAGAUACAAUACAGCCUCCUGAUACAAUAGGGCCACAAAUAUUACAGGUCACUACAUGAUUGAACUCUCCAGAGAAGCUGCUUCUUCUAAUAGAUGGCAAUGAACAUGCAGAUCCGCAACUAGACCUCAUGCAGAGCACACAGACCCCUAAGUACCUGUAUCAUUCCCCUACCCUCA